UACGUAGGUGGCGAGCGUUGUCCGGAUUUACUGGGCGUAAAGAGCGCGCAGGCGGUUGGUCAAGUCGAAUGUGAAAGCCCCCGGCUCAACUGGGGAGGGUCAUUCGAUACUGGUCGACUCGAAGGCAGGAGAGGGACGUGGAAUUCCCGGUGUAGUGGUGAAAUGCGUAGAUAUCAGGAGGAACACCGAUGGCGAAGGCAGGUCUCUGGGCUGACACUGACGCUCAUGCACGAAAGCGUGGGGAGCAAACAGG
rnacentral:rRNA from 1 species